rnacentral:siRNA from 1 species
AGUGGCUAAAAGUUUAGGGUGAA